rnacentral:rRNA from 1 species
ACUGCUCAGUAACACGUGGCUAACCUGCCCUUGGGACAGAGACACCCCCGGGAAACUGGGGCUAAUCCCUGAUAGGUGAAGAACUCUGGAAUGAGUCUUCACCCAAAAGACGCCUAGGCCACGCUUCUAGGCGCCGCCCAAGGAUGGGGCCGCGACCGAUCAGGUUGUUGGUGAGGUAACGGCCUACCAAGCCUUUUACCGGUACGGGCCGUGGGAGCGGGAGCCCGGAGAUGGGCACUGAGACAAGGGCCCAGGUCCUACGGGGCGCAGCAGUCGCGCAAACUUUGCAAUACACGAAAGUGUGACAGGGCUAUCCCGAGUGCCGUCCGCUGAGGGUGGCUUUUACCCAGUCUAGAAAGCUGGGAGAAUAAGGAGAGGGCAAGUCUGGUGUCAGCCGCCGCGGUAAUACCAGCUCUCCGAGUGGUGUGGAUGUUUAUUGGGCCUAAAGCAUCCGUAGCUGGCUGAUCAAGUCCCCUGUUAAACCCAACGAAUCAAUCGUUGGAUUGCGGGGGAUACUGCUCGGCUAGGGGACGAGAGAGGCCGACGGUAUUUUCGGGGUAGGGGUGAAAUCCUAUAAUCCCGAGAAGACCACCAGUGGCGAAGGCUGUCGGCUAGAACGCGCCCAACGGUGAGGGAUGAAAGCUGGGGGAGCGAACCGGAUUAGAUACCCGGGUAGUCCCAGCUGUAAACGAUGCAGGCUAGGUGUUUGGGCGGCCACGCGCCGCUCUAGUGCCGCAGGGAAACUGUUAAGCCUGCCGCCUGGGGAGUACGGCCGCAAGGCUGAAACUUAAAGGAAUUGGCGUGGGAGCACAAU